GGAGCACUGAUGGCAUGGCAAAAUAAUGGAUCGUCAGUACCAGAUGGAUCCUGUUCUGACUUCCUUGUCAGUACCAACUGGGGUACAAAUCAUCUCACUUGACAUCAAACCUGUAACCGUUAGGUGUGAAGUUAAGCUGGCUGAAGAUCAGAUUUGGCUGCUAUGGACGUUCUAAGUGCAUCUACAGAGGAAGCUUAAUCUUUCCCAUCCCAGAUGGCUGUCUUGAAAGGAAGAGGUGACAGGCCUUGGCAGUGUGACGUCUGCGAUGCCAGCAAGGAAGUCAGGCUGGUCCUAUGUAAAAGUGAGAAAAAUCAUCUGGAUAGAAAAUCAUCUGGUAAAUAUUGCCUUCAUAACCUGGGGCUCCCUUAUUGCAUCCGUGUGCAGAGGGACUGGGCUUUUUCUUGGUGAUGGAUUGACAAAUUAAUGAAGAAGAUUCAGUAUGGAUCAGAUAGAUAGAAUUGGAGCUGAAGGUCUCAGCAGCAGUAUGAGAUGCCUAAACAGUGUCAUCCUAUGAACUCAGAAGGCUCAGGGUGCAUUACAGCCAUACAUGGAUUCAUGGAGUUCAGUAAAAGACUCACGGUAGGGGUUGCAUGGUCAAGGCACCUGGCUUUUGAUCUGAAAUACGCUGCAUUUAACACACGACUCAAACUGAUGGUGUGGAGCCAGAGCAAUGGAAAUCUGUGUCCUAAUAUGCAAUUAAGUCACAUUAUGGGCCUUGCAGACAAGUUUAAUGUCAACAGAAAGAUCAGAAUUUCCCUUCUCCUAUUAGAAGCUUUUAGUAGAAAAGAAAAUAAAGCUUGAAAUCAUACUUUUUAAAAAAUUAUCAUUAUUUGGAAGAGAGUAUCAGUGUACAACAUGGCAAACACAGCUGAAUGAAAGGAUUUUCAUUUGCAAUUGGCUUGAAGCUAAUUUCUUUUCUGUUAGGAUCUCCUCUACCAAGAUUUAAUAGCAAUCAGAGGGCUGAGGAGGCUUCCCAUGCUCUUCAGUUGCAGUAGCAUGUGCAGUGUCAAUUUACUGGAUCCGUAGGCGAAGUCUGUGCCCUUUAUCUCAAAUCCCUGGGCACUGCCUGCCUUUUAACUACAUUUCUGGCUUUUCAUCUGAUGUUCCUACCCUUGUUUACAGAUACUUGAUUUUUACCUUGGUAAUCCAGUUUGGCUUGAAACUUUAUUCUGGACUAUGAGCUUUGAUUUCUUCCUAGGUUAACAAGAAAGCAGGCAUGGUUUUAGGUUUGCUCAAAGAAAGCUUAGCAGUGGUUAUGUGGGGACGUCUUAGAAGUCAAAGGUCUAGUUUCAUUUGAUUCUGUUUUCUGUAUUGUUUACCAUCUCUAUCUUAAUGUUUGGUGGCAUAGCUGACUUCAUCUCCCCAGCGUCACCAGUUCAUUCGUAAGUUUGUUGCUUGGAUGAAUCUCAGCUGUAUUCACUCCUCUCUGUGCCUUAUUCUCAGAUUUAGUCGUUUCCUCUUUUUUUUUCCCCAGGCAUUUAUUGAAGUGCAAACUUUUCCAUGUAGUCCUCUUUUUCCUUUGGUGUCCAGACAGUACUACCUCCUCUUCAUCCUGAGCUGAUGAGAUUUAUUGCCACCCUGCUUCAAUCUGAUCAGGCAGUCAGGAACAGUCUUGCUGUUGAUGGAAUUGUUAAAACUUUCCCAACGGUGCUUUUUAAGAGUUUCCAGUCUCUUGAGUUU